GAAGGAAUUUGAUAAUCGAUCUCCACGAUAGGACUUAGAAAUAUUCGCGGAUGCCAUUCGUGCAAGUAUUAACGAAGAAUUAAUGGAAAUAUACAACAGUUUAUUUGGUAUUAGACUAAAUCCGAAGUGGGGAUAGUCGGCUUCGAGAGACGACAACAAAGUCGUGCCUUUGACCGACUUCUAGUUCAGUUGUGCUUUGGACUUCGACGAGGGAACAUAUAGAUUUUCGCAGACUUCGAUUUCGCAUUCUCGAAGGAAUUUGAUAAUCGAUCUCCACGAUAGGACUUAGAAAUAUUCGCGGAUGCCAUUCGUGCAAGUAUUAACGAAGAAUUAAUGGAAAUAUACAACAGUUUAUUUGGUAUUAGACUAAAUCGGAAGUGGGGAUAGUCGGCUUCGAGAGACGACAACAAAGUCGUGCCUUUGACCGACUUCUAGUUCAGUUGUGCUUUGGACUUCGACGAGGGAACAUAUAGAUUUUCGCAGACUUCGAUUUCGCAUUCUCGAAGGAAUUUGAUAAUCGAUCUCCACGAUAGGACUUAGAAAUAUUCGCGGAUGCCAUUCGUGCAAGUAUUAACGAAGAAUUAAUGGAAAUAUACAACAGUUUAUUUGGUAUUAGACUAAAUCCGAAGUGGGGAUAGUCGGCUUCGAGAGACGACAACAAAGUCGUGCCUUUGACCGACUUCUAGUUCAGUUGUGCUUUGGACUUCGACGAGGGAACAUAGAAAUUUUCACAGGAUGUCACUCGAGCGAGUAUUUACGAAUAGUUUACGCAAGUACAAUAUUAUAUUACUCAUAUUUUCGAAAUUCUAUGCUUUCUCUUUUGCUUCAGACUUCGAUUUCGCACUCCCGGAGGACUUUGAAAAUCUGUCUCCCGAGUGGACUUAGAAAUUUUCGCAUCUUUGCGGGACUUUGAAAAUCUGUCUUCCGAGUGGACUUAGAAAUUUUCGCAUCUUUGCGGGACUUUGAAAAUCUGUCUCCCGAGUGGACUUAGAAAUUUUCGCAUCUUUGCGGGACUUUGAAAAUCUAUCUCCACGAGUGGACUUAGAAAUUUUCGCAUCUUUGCGGGACUUUGAAAAUCUGUCUCCCGAGUGGACUUAGAAAUUUUCGCAUCUUUGCGGGACUUUGAAAAUCUGUCUCCCGAGUGGACUUAGAAAUUUUCGCAUCUUUGCGGGACUUUGAAAAUCUGUCUCCCGAGUGGACUUAGAAAUUUUCGCAUCUUUGCGGGAUUUUGAAAAUCUGUCUCCCGAGUGGACUUAGAAAUUUUCGCAUCUUUGCGGGACUUUGAAAAUCUAUCUCCACGAGUGGACUUAGAAAUUUUCGCAUCUUUGCGGGACUUUGAAAAUCUGUCUCCCGAGUGGACUUAGAAAUUUUCGCAUCUUUGCGGGACUUUGAAAAUCUGUCUCCCGAGUGGACUUAGAAAUUUUCGCAUCUUUGCGGGACUUUGAAAAUCUGUCUCCCGAGUGGACUUAGAAAUUUUCGCAUCUUUGCGGGAUUUUGAAAAUCUGUCUCCCGAGUGGACUUAGAAAUUUUCGCAUCUUUGCGGGACUUUGAAAAUCUAUCUCCACGAGUGGACUUAGAAAUUUUCGCAUCUUUGCGGGACUUUGAAAAUCUGUCUCCCGAGUGGACUUAGAAAUUUUCGCAUCUUUGCGGGACUUUGAAAAUCUGUCUCCCGAGUGGACUUAGAAAUUUUCGCAUCUUUGCGGGACUUUGAAAAUCUAUCUCCACGAGUGGACUUAGAAAUUUUCGCAUCUUUGCGGGACUUUGAAAAUCUGUCUCCCGAGUGGACUUAGAAAUUUUCGCAUCUUUGCGGGACUUUGAAAAUCUAUCUCCACGAGUGGACUUAGAAAUUUUCGCAUCUUUGCGGGACUUUGAAAAUCUAUCUCCACGAGUGGACUUAGAAAUUUUCGCAUCUUUGCGGGAUUUUGAAAAUCUGUCUCCCGAGUGGACUUAGAAAUUUUCGCAUCUUUGCGGGACUUUGAAAAUCUAUCUCCACGAGUGGACUUAGAAAUUUUCGCACCUUUGGGGGACUUUGAAAAUCUAUCUCCACGAGUUGACUUAGAAAUUUUCGCAUCUUUGCGGGACUUUGAAAAUCUAUCUCCCGAGUGGACUUAGAAAUUUCUACACUCCUGGAGGACUUUGAAGAUCUAUCUCCCGAGUGGACUUAGAAAUUUUCGCAUCUUUGCGGGACUUUGAAAAUCUAUCUCCACGAGUGGACUUAGAAAUUUUCGCAUCUUUGCGGGAUUUUGAAAAUCUGUCUCCCGAGUGGACUUAGAAAUUUUCGCAUCUUUGCGGGACUUUGAAAAUCUAUCUCCACGAGUGGACUUAGAAAUUUUCGCACCUUUGGGGGACUUUGAAAAUCUAUCUCCACGAGUUGACUUAGAAAUUUUCGCAUCUUUGCGGGACUUUGAAAAUCUAUCUCCCGAGUGGACUUAGAAAUUUCUACACUCCUGGAGGACUUUGAAGAUCUAUCUCCCGAGUGGACUUAGAAAUUUUCGCGGAUGCCACUCGAGCGGGUAUUAAGGAUGAGUAUACGCAAGUACCAUGUUAUAUUACUCAUAUUUUCAAAACUUUGUACUUUCUUUUUUUGUUACAGACCGAUUUCGCUCUUUCCAGGGAUUUUGAAAAUCUAUCUUCACGAGUGGACUUAGAAAUUUUCGCAGAUGUCAUUCGAAUAUGUAUUAACGAAGACUUAAAGACCUCAUUGCAAUCGAGCGCGUAGCAAUGAAGUAAUCGUGGAUGUGUAUCGCUAAAAUAAAAAUAUUUCGCGAAGUAGAAGCAGUGUUUGUUCGUUCGCGUUUCGCGAUUUAAACUAUAAGUGUUUUUGCAUAGACUGCGUGCAAUGCAGUCCUUAGAGUCAGUGUUUGUUCGUAAAGUAUUUAAUAUUUUUAACAGUCGCGCAGACUGUACUUAUAAAAGAUAAUAGAGUUUCGCGAAAUAAAUUCAGUGUCCGUUCGUUAAUAAAUAACUACCGCGAAUUAGAGUCAGUGCAUCACUGAAGAGGAUCUCGACCAACUUCGAUGUCGACCUACCUCAUUUUCAACCAACUACAAAUCAUCCACCCUCAAUUUCGACCUAAAUCGCGGUCCAGUGUUUUGGAGCCAUCGCAGAACUUCUUAAGUAGUAAGUUAAUUUUUUAGUCCCUCCAAUCACUCUAUCAUGUCGAGGACGAAAGGUCCGAAUCGGCACGGGUGAUUGGUUGUAAUUAAUUAGUAGAAGAGCAUUGAGUGACCACGAAUAAAUUUCUUCGGAGAUUUAUUCAUGAAUGGUUUGUUAUUUUUUGAUUUAUUUAUUAGAUCAGGAUAGAGUCUUCUUGUUUAAACGCGUUAAU